AAUUUACCGUAAUGAAAAGGCAAGGAAAACUUGAUAGAAUGCAUGCAUAUGUAAAGUUCUGGUGGAUCAAAGAUCGAGGAAUGAUUUGCUUUUAACUGGUUUGCAUCUUAUGAACAAAGUACGUAAUAUGAUUUAAACUGAUGAUUUAUAGUUACACCUAUUGAAAUUCUGUAUCUCAAUGAUAUCCUGGCUUAUCGAUACGAUAUCCUGUAAAUUCACUCACACACAUAAGUUUUACUCACACACGUAAAUCCUGUAAAUUCACUCACACACAUAAAUCUUAAAAAAGAUGUUUAUAUUUUAUC